rnacentral:rRNA from 1 species
ACGGGUGAGUAAUGCCUGGGAAAUUGCCCUGAUGUGGGGGAUAACCAUUGGAAACGAUGGCUAAUACCGCAUAAUAGCUUCGGCUCAAAGAGGGGGACCUUCGGGCCUCUCGCGUCAGGAUAUGCCCAGGUGGGAUUAGCUAGUUGGUGAGGUAAGGGCUCACCAAGGCGACGAUCCCUAGCUGGUCUGAGAGGAUGAUCAGCCACACUGGAACUGAGACACGGUCCAGACUCCUACGGGAGGCAGCAGUGGGGAAUAUUGCACAAUGGGCGCAAGCCUGAUGCAGCCAUGCCGCGUGUAUGAAGAAGGCCUUCGGGUUGUAAAGUACUUUCAGCAGUGAGGAAGGUGGUGUACUUAAUACGUGCAUCAUUUGACGUUAGCUGCAGAAGAAGCACCGGCUAACUCCGUGCCAGCAGCCGCGGUAAUACGGAGGGUGCGAGCGUUAAUCGGAAUUACUGGGCGUAAAGCGCAUGCAGGUGGUUUGUUAAGUCAGAUGUGAAA